GACGAACGCUGGCGGCGUGCCUAAUACAUGCAAGUCGAACGCUUUUUCUUUCACCGGAGCUUGCUCCAUCGAAAGAAAAAGAGUGGCGAACGGGUGAGUAACACGUGGGUAACCUGCCCAUCAGAAGGGGCUAACACUUGGAAACAGGUGCUAAUACCGUAUAACACUAUUUUCCGCAUGGACGAAAGUUGAAAGGCGCUUUUGCGUCACUGAUGGAUGGAACCGCGGGCCAUUAGCUAGUUGGUGAGGUAACGGCUCACCAAGGCAACGAUGCAUAGCCGACCUGGGAGGGUGAUCGGCCACACUGGGACUGAGACACGGCCCAGACUCCAACGGGAGGCAGCAGUAGGGAAUCUUCGGCAAUGGAUGAAAGUCUGACCGAGCAACGCCGCGUGAGUGAAGAAGGUUUUCGGAUCGUAAAACUCUGUUGUUAGAGAAGAACAAGGAUGAGAGUAAAAUGUUCAUCCCUUGACGGUAUCUAACCAGAAAGCCACGGCUAACUACGUGCCAGCAGCCGCCGUAA
rnacentral:rRNA from 1 species